GGAUCGGAGUGGUACUGUGUUGCAUCAUUUCAGCCACAUGCCUCUGUAGGAAAUGUAAGGCCAAGACAGCAGACCAGAACCCAGUCCAGGACCAGUUUCAGCAGCAGUCAGCUGGAGAGAUCCCUCAACAGCAAAGUGGUACAGACAGGAGGACAAAUAACAAGCGGAAGAGCGAGUACAUGGAGAGGCUCAACUCAAUCUAUGAUGCCUACUGAGCUGUCUUUCAAAUGAAAGACAAACAAGUGACACAUGUAAUUCAUUUUUACAGUUUUAAACCAGGUGCUUACAAGUUUUAUAUAU